UCCCGGUAGCGGCCGUCGCUCAUAGGGACCCCAGGGCUGCACCUGCGGCCCCCGCCCGUUCAGGUCGCGCUGUAACGGGGAGCUGCGGGGAGCUGCUGAGGGUGUCUCUCCUCCUGCCCCUCCUCCUGCCCUUUCCCGGAGCAAGAGUCACAUCAAACCAUCUGCAAGUCACCUCCCUUGCCUUUCUGGACCAUCCACAGCAGAGCCUGGGAAGAAUUGGUGCCUGGGAUUCUCAGAGGAUUCUCCACUGAACCCACAGCACUUCACUCCAGAUGUGGCUGAGGGAAGGGAAUCUCAUGUGAAGUGCAAGGCUGACACCUGGAGGGGACUGCUGAGAUGCAGCUGGACAGCGAUUCUGCAGCACCCAGCUUGGGUUGGGAAAGAUCAGAGCUGGUGGCAAGAUCCCAGGUUUGGGAACUGCUCUUUUCUAGUG